CAUUGUGUUGGAACUCACUCAAAACCAUUUUUGAUUAUCUCCUAUUUGCCAUCCAUUUCUUUCUUUUAUACCGUAUCUGCACGCCUUCAUAUUUUAUUCCUAUCACCAGCCUUGUAAUUCCAUUUAAUUGUCUACAAGCUCAAAUUACACUCCACAAGAUUGAACAAUAUGUUAUCACAAGAAGUCAAACACACAGUUCUCCCCUAACAUCUCACUGCUAGCCUAUUUCCACCUCUCAUACAUAGCCACUACUCCGACCCUUACAGCCCUCAAUGCAAUACACCAUAUAAAAUAGCCACACGUACACACUUUAACCCACACACCAACGUCCAUUACCACACAUUGUAUCACCCCACACAGCCACAGUUAAGCCCCGACGCCUCGGUACGAAUACCAAAUUAAAUCCAAAGCCAUCCAUUUCUUUCUUUUAUACCGUAUCUGCACGCCUUCAUGUUUUAUUCCUAUCACCAGCCUUGUAAUUCCAUUUAAUUGUCUACAAGCUCAAAUUACACUCCACAAGAUUGAACAAUAUGUUAUCACAAGAAGUUAUCAACAUGUAAUUAUCACCUUCCUCCGAAGGUCAAACACACAGUUCUCCCCUAACAUCUCACUGCUAGCCUAUUUCCACCUCUCAUACAUAGCCACUACUCCGACCCUUACAGCCCUCAAUGCAAUACACCAUAUAAAAUAGCCACACGUACACACUUUAACCCACACACCAACGUCCAUUACCACACAUUUUAUCACCCCACACAGCCACAGUUAAGCCCCGACGCCUCGGUACGAAUACCAGAUUAAAACCAAAACUAUGAUUACCAUACUGGGAAAGUGCUGUAUCACAUUAAGUGAUCCCGAGGCGUCCCCCAAAUCCCCCACACACCACUUCUUUCCCCACCCCGUCCCCUCACCCACAUCCCUCUCACAAAUUAAAUCUUAUUCUAUCCUUACCACACAACAUACCUACCCACUACUACCACCCAGCUCUAUACAUGUCACAACCCCCUUUCUCUCCCCUCCUCAUACCUAGCUAACCACCCAAGUACCCCCCUACUCACAUCACCCACACCCAACCACCCACCUACCUCACAACAAGCACCCCCUCAUCCCUCACCCCACAAACAGCCCCAUACCCACUUUACCCAUACCACACCAUCAUACAACCCACCACGAUUAUUCCAAGCCCCAACACAACACCAACACCCACCUAAGCCCCACACACCGACACACACACUACCUCCCCCCUUACACUUUCCUACACUCUCAGUUAAAUAUACAUACCUAACACACCCUACACAAGCCAUACCCCUGCCAACACCAAAAACCACACACCCCUCCCCCCCAUGGCCACAACACGACUCACGCUACAACACACCAAACCAACCACACCCUACAGCAGCAACUAAUCCUACAACCAGCGCUCCCUCCAACAACACACCCUACAUACACACAGUUCUCCCCUAACAUCUCACUGCUAGCCUAUUUCCACCUCUCAUACAUAGCCACUACUCCGACCCUUACAGCCCUCAAUG